ensembl:lncRNA
CCUCCAGAUUGCGUCUUGAUCCCUAGCACUGAGAAGAUGACCAAUAAAGGCAUGAGUGAACUCAUAAAUAAAUAGUGUUCUGAGUAAAUUAAUUAAUGACAAUAGAGAUGUCCAGAAUGGGAAUGAAACUGUAGCCUAGUUUAAUUAGAGCAGGGAAUUAGACAUCUUCACCUUCACAGGAGCAACUUGAAGGCAGGUGUGCAUGCUUUUAGGUGUUAUCUGGAACAGCUGUUUCACUGGGGACCCAGCGCAAAAGGAUGGGCCUUGUGGAGAUUGGAUUGCUUUAAAGCUCUUUCUUCCUCCCAGGAUCCACUUUUCCACUCCACGCUCUCCCACUAUUCACCCAGCACUAUCCUGUGGGAGGGAGUCGAAGUUGGAGCAUUCUUGCUCACUACGGGUGUCCCUGUGCCCAUUUUAUGUGUGGAAACUGGAAACUCUGAGGAGUUAGCCUCUCCAUAUUUCCAGAAUUAACAAGCCAUGGAGAUGAGGUUCAAACAGAGAGGUUAUAUAAUGUUUGAUAUUUGGAUUUCUCAUCUUAUGGAAGACUGCGGUUAGCUCUGGGUUCACAGAAAGAGUGUGGCCCGGCUGCAUACACUUCAAACAGCAAGCACGCAUAAGAUCCCAGAGUAGUCCCCCGAUUUCCAAUGCAGGAGGUUGCUUGGUGGCAGAGCUCUGCAAGUGUCCAACAGCAGGCAUUCCAUGGAGCCGUGCACUGGUGUGGAGUGCCAGCGUCUGAUAAAGAAAACGAAGAUACUCUAACGAAGCAGGAAAAGUUCCUGGAUGUGGCAGAUCCAUCUCAAGGCUUUGGAUAAAAGACUGAAGCAGGAGUAAUUGGAUACCAGAACAUUAUAUAUAUAUUUUUUGCAUUAAUCCUUUUGCUUUUUGCUUACCCUUUUCUUCCCAUGGCACUGAAGUGGAAUAUCCCAAGUGCCACCGAACUCAGAGAACUCCACGCCGGAAUGGGGGUGAGGCUGGCGUUCUACCUCUGGCAUAGGAUAAGGAUGGCAGGCACGUAAUAUUACGAAAUGUAGGACAAAUUCAAGCGAAAGAGAGGGAGAGGGAGAGAGAGGGGGAGAGCCAGAGACAGAUGGCGGAUCUGGCUAGGAGCCAAAGCCAGUGAAAUGAAUUACAUUGCUGAAUAACUGUAUACCAUUGAUUCUGCCACUUGUUGCUGCAUGGCAAAAAAAAAAAAAAAAAAAGGAAAAAAAAGAAAAGCCCCAGUGUAUGCUGGAAUCUCCUUAUUUGUCAUGUGCGCAGCAGACAACUUUCACACACAACUCAAUCCUGACAAUGAUACGCUCUGGGUGUCUUGAGUGGGUGUGGAGGUGCAUGAGAAGGUUGUGUGCAUGUAUGUGUGGCCGAGAAAGCAAAUGUGGGUGUGUGUGCUUAUGCAUGUGGGAGAAAGGAAAAACAAUCCUUGCAAUCCGGCCAUUUUUGUUUAAUGAAGAAUGGAAGACUGGCAUUCAGAGAUGUGGUUACGUGCCGCAUAUUAAUGCGUGCUCACCACUCAUCCUCCCCCACUUUAAAAAUGAGUGGCACAGGAGUGAAGCUCUCUACAGAUCAACCACGUGGGAGAAGCAACUCAUGAGGUGGCAUCCUGUUACAGGAACAUCUUUCACAAAUUAUGGUUCAUUUGGUGAAGGCUCUUUCAGGGAAGUCAGCAUUUGACAUAAGUGUGAGGAGCACGGGGCUUUACACAAUAGAUAUUCAGGGCCAAUAAAUUUUAACAUGAAGCUUGAGAGGAUGCUAUUCUUGGAGCUUGGAGGCAGGUGGGGUCAGCAUCACCAGAACUACUAUAGAACUCCACAUAAUCAACAUGGAGAGACUGACGGCAGGCACCACUCAAGUUACAGGUCAUACUGUGCUUUCCUGAGAUCAUUACUAGAGACAUGAGAAGGAAUGGAGGGUAAAGGACGUUGGGCCAAGAAAGAACUGUAGUCAUCCAGUGGACAAAUUACUAGAUCUGCUAGUAAUCUAGUGGACAGAGUUCUGUGAAAUCUAGACAUGCGUAGAUUCUGGUAAUCCCCACCACAGACAGGAUACAGAAAAUCCUAACAUCCCAAGAAAUUUCUUCAUGCUGCCCUGUGUAUAUUUAGCCUGCGCAUCCCUAAUGACAUGGUGUUGAGAUCUUUUCCUGUGCUCAUUUGCCAUCCAUAGAUCUUCUUUGGUUAGGAGUCUGUUCGAAUAUUCUGGCCACUUAAAAAAAAUUGAUUGUUUUCUUAUUGUUGAGUUUUAAGAGUUUUUUUAACAUUCCGGAUAAAAGUUCUUUGUCUGAUAUGUGAUUUGAAAACAUUUUCUCUCAUUUCUAUGGCUUGUUGUU